rnacentral:rRNA from 1 species
GAUGAACGCUGGCGGCGUGCCUAAUACAUGCAAGUCGAACGCUGGAAAUCUAGCUUGCUAGAUUGAAGGAGUGGCGAACGGGUGAGUAAUACAUAAGCAACCUACCCACGAAGACUGGGAUAAUCUCUGGAAACGGGGACUAAUACCGGAUAGGUAAUCGGAAGGCAUCUUCUGAUUAUUAAAGGUUAAAAACACUGGUGGAUGGGCUUAUGGCGCAUUAGUUAGUUGGUGAGGUAACGGCCCACCAAGACGAUGAUGCGUAGCCGGCCUGAGAGGGUGAACGGCCACAUUGGGACUGAGACACGGCCCAGACUCCUACGGGAGGAAGCAGUAGGGAAUUUUCGGCAAUGGGGGAAACCCUGACCGAGCAACGCCGCGUGAGUGAGGACGGCCUUCGGGGUGUAAAGCUCUGUUGUAAGGGAAGAACGGUAGAUAGAGAAUAUCUAAAUGACGGUACCUUACCAGAAAGCCACGGCUAACUACGUG